GAAAUGCGAUAAGUAGUGUGAAUUGCAGAAUUCAGUGAAUCAUCGAAUCUUUGAACGCACAUUGCGCCCCUUGGUAUUCCAUGGGGCAUGCCUGUUCGAGCGUCAUUUGUACCCUCAAGCUCUGCUUGGUGUUGGGUGUUUGUCCCGCUUUCUCGCGUGGACUCGCCUUAAAACAAUUGGCAGCCGGCAUAUUGGCCUGGAGCGCAGCACAAUUUGCGCCUCUUGCUAUACGUGUUUUGGCAUCCAUCAAGUCCAUUUAUUUGCUCUUGACCUCGGAUCAGGUAGGGAUACCCGCUGAACUUAA
rnacentral:misc_RNA from 1 species